AUAACAAAAGAAUCGCAGCCCUAGAAAUCGAUGAGAUUCAAUUGGAGACUCUAAAAUGAAUCUCUCGCUGUCUUCUUCUUCUCCGUCUUCUACUUCUUUAGCUUUAGCCGGUUCCUGGUUCUCCGGCAUUGUCCGGGGCCGGUCCGACCGUGCCGGGUCCGUCGUGCGGAAGAAUCAGUUCAGAGGGGCACUCUUCAAGUACGGCCCCAAACCAAUUCAGUCAUGAACUUAUACAGAGGAUCUAUGAGGGGUGUCGGCAAACUUUUGGGAAUCAAAUCCAUAUAUGAAAUGAAAUUGAUCCAUAUGCAAAUCGUUGAAUUCAUUCGUUGCAUCGGUAAAGUGAUAAAAUGGGAGGAACUUACAGAAGUGCAAUGGAAAAUCAUGAGAACAUCAAUCUUUCGAGCUGU